AGCGUGCGCAGGCGGUUAUGUAAGACAGUUGUGAAAUCCCCGGGCUCAACCUGGGAACUGCAUCUGUGACUGCAUAGCUAGAGUACGGUAGAGGGGGAUGGGAAUUCCGCGUGUAGCAGUGAAAUGCGUAGAUAUGCGGAGGAACACCGAUGGCGAAGGCAAUCCCCUCGGACCUGUACUGACGCUCAUGCACGAAAGCGUGGGGAGCAAACAGGAUUAGAUACCCCUGU
rnacentral:rRNA from 1 species